GGACUACUGGGGUAUCUAAUCCCGUUUGCUACCCUAGCUUUCGCACCUCAGUGUCAGAAUCGAUCCAGUGAGCCGCUUUCGCCACCGGUGUUCCUCCAGAUAUCUACGCAUUUCACCGCUCCACCUGGAGUUCCGCUCACCCCUAUCGACCUCUAGCCCGCCAGUAUCGAGCGCAAUUCCCCGGUUGAGCCGGGGUAUUUCACACUCGACUUAAUGGACCACCUACGUGCGCUUUAUGCCCAGUAAUUCCGAACAACGUUUGCAUCCUCUGUCUUACCGCGGCUGCUGGCAC
rnacentral:rRNA from 1 species